AAGCGACCCCAGUCAGGCGAC
rnacentral:rRNA from 1 species